rnacentral:rRNA from 1 species
AACGAACGCUGGCGGCAUGCCUAACACAUGCAAGUCGAACGGGACCUUCGGGUCUAGUGGCGCUCGUGUGCGUACCGCGUGGGAACUUGCCCUUAGGUUAGGAAUAACUCCCCGAAAGGGGUCCUAAUAACGGUUAGUGUCUUCGGACCAAAGAUUUCUCGCCUUUGGAUGGGCCCGCGUUGGAUUCGCGAGUUGGUAGGGUAAAAGCCUACCAAGGCGACGAUCCAUAGCUGGUCGGUGAGGAUGAUCAGCCACGCUGGAACUGAGACACGGCCCAGACUCGGACGCGAGGCAGCAGUGGGGAAUACAAGACAAGGAGCGCAAGUCUGAUCCAGCAAUGCCGGGGAAGAGAGGAAGGCCGUAGUGUUGUAAAGCUCUCUUAGCCGGGAUGAGAAUGACAGUACCGGGAGAAUAAGCACCGGCUAACUCCGUG